rnacentral:rRNA from 1 species
GACGAACGCUGGCGGCGUGCUUAACACAUGCAAGUCGAACGGAAAGGCCCUGCUUUUGUGGGGUGCUCGAGUGGCGAACGGGUGAGUAACACGUGAGUAACCUGCCCUUGACUUUGGGAUAACUUCAGGAAACUGGGGCUAAUACCGGAUAGGAGCUCCUGCUGCAUGGUGGGGGUUGGAAAGUUUCGGCGGUUGGGGAUGGACUCGCGGCUUAUCAGCUUGUUGGUGGGGUGGUGGCUUACCAAGGCUUUGACGGGUAGCCGGCCUGAGGGGGUGACCGGCCACAUUGGGACUGAGAUACGGCCCAGACUCCUACGGGAGGCAGCAGUGGGGAAUAUUGCACAAUGGGCGGAAGCCUGAUGCAGCAACGCCGCGUGCGGGAUGACGGCCUUCGGGUUGUAAACCGCUUUCGCCUGUGACGAAGCGUGAGUGACGGUAAUGGGUAAAGAAGCACCGGCUAACUACGUGCCAGCCGCCGCGGUAACAC